CAGCCGCCGCGGGAAUACGUAGGGUGCGAGCGUUAAUCGGAAUUACUGGGCGUGAAGCGUGCGCAGGCAGUUGUGUAAGACAGGUGUGAAAUCCCCGGGCUUAACCUGGGAACUGCGCUUGUGACUGCACAGCUAGAGUAUGGCAGAGGGGGGUGGAAUUCCACGUGUAGCAGUGAAAUGCGUAGAGAUGUGGAGGAACACCGAUGGCGAAGGCAGCCCCCUGGGCCAAUACUGACGCUCAUGCACGAAAGCGUGGGGAGCAAACAGGAUUAGAUACCCGCGUAGUCCCUGUCUCUUAUAC
rnacentral:rRNA from 1 species